rnacentral:rRNA from 1 species
GGACUACCAGGGUUUCUAAUCCCGUUCGCUCCCCUGGCUUUCGUGUGUGAGCGUCAGGAACGCGCCAGUGCACUGCCUUCGCCUUCGGUGUUCCCCAUGAUAUCAACGGAUUUCACCCCUCCACCAUGAGUUCCGUGCACCUCUCGCGCCCUCGAGCCCUGCCGUUUCGCUUGCGCGCCGUAGGUUAAGCCCACGGAUUUUACAAACGACUAACAGGGCCGCCUGGACACCCUUUACGCCCAGUGAUUCCGGAUAAUGCUCGGGGCCUCUGUAUUACCGCGGCUGCUGGCAC